rnacentral:rRNA from 1 species
AACGAACGCUGGCGGCAUGCCUAACACAUGCAAGUCGAACGAGACCUUCGGGUCUAGUGGCGCACGGGUGCGUAACGCGUGGGAACCUGCCCUUAGGUUCGGAAUAACUCCCCGAAAGGGGUGCUAAUACCGGAUAAUGUCUUCGGACCAAAGAUUUAUCGCCUUUGGAUGGGCCCGCGUUGGAUUAGCUAGUUGGUAGGGUAAAAGCCUACCAAGGCGACGAUCCAUAGCUGGUCUGAGAGGAUGAUCAGCCACACUGGGACUGAGACACGGCCCAGACUCCUACGGGAGGCAGCAGUGGGGAAUAUUGGAAAAUGGGCGAAAGCCUGAUCAAGCAAGGCCGCGUGAGUGAUGAAGGCCUUAGGGUUGUAAAGCUCUUUUAACCGGGAUGAUAAUGACAGUACCGGGAGAAUAAGCUCCGGCUAACUCCGUG